rnacentral:rRNA from 1 species
AGAACGAACGCUGGCGGCAUGCCUAAUACAUGCAAGUCGAACGAACACUUCGGUGUUAGUGGCGCACGGGUGCGUAACGCGUGGGAAUCUGCCCUUGGGUUCGGAAUAACAGUUGGAAACGACUGCUAAUACCGGAUGAUAUCGAAAGAUCAAAGGUUUAUCGCCCAGGGAUGAGCCCGCGUAGGAUUAGCUAGUUGGUGAGGUAAGGCUCACCAAGGCGACGAUUCUUAGCUGGUCUGAGAGGAUGAUCAGCCACACUGGGACUGAGGCACGGCCCAGACUCCUACGGGAGCAGCAGUAGGGAAUAUAGGACAAGUGGG